rfam:Oryza sativa Japonica Group DNA, chromosome 3, cultivar: Nipponbare, complete sequence.
AAUAAGUAGUUUUGUACUAUUCACGUUCAACGUUUAACCGUUCGUUUUAUUUGAAAUUUUUUAUGAUUAGUAUUUUUAUUGCUAUUAGAUGAUAAAACAUAAAUAGUACUUUAUAUGUGACUAAAUAUUUUCACAAUUUUUUUAAAUAAGAUGAAUGGUCAAUCGUUAGGCACGGAUAUCUACGGCUGCACUUAUU